rnacentral:rRNA from 1 species
GACAGAGGUCCCGAGCGUUAGGCGGAAUCACUGGGCUUAAAGCGUGUGUAGGCGGAUCGUUAAGUGCCUUGUGAAAUCCCACGGCUUAACCGUGGAACUGCUUGGCAUACUGGCGGUCUUGAGCCACCUAGGGGCAACCGGAACAAAUGGUGGAGCGGUGAAAUGCGUAGAUAUCAUUUGGAACGCCAAUGGUGAAAACAGGUUGCUGGGGGGUGUGCUGACGCUGAGACACGAAAGCCAGGGGAGCGAACGGG